UGGGGAAUAUUGCGCAAUGGACGAAAGUCUGACGCAGCGACGCCGCGUGUGGGAUGAAGCCUUUCGGGGUGUAAACCACUGUUGCCCGGGACGAAACUCCUUUUUCGAGAGGACUGACGGUACCGGGUGAGGAAGCACCGGCUAACUCUGUGCCAGCAGCCGCGGUAAUACAGAGGGUGCGAGCGUUGUCCGGAAUCACUGGGCGUAAAGGGCGCGUAGGUGGCUUGGUAAGCGUGUGGUGAAAGUCCGGGGCUCAACCCCGGAUCUGCCGUGCGAACUGCUAGGCUUGAGCAUUGUAGAGGCAGGUGGAAUUUCGGGUGUAGCGGUGGAAUGCGUAGAUAUCCGAAAGAACACCAGUGGCGAAGGCGGCCUGCUGGGCAAUUGCUGACACUGAGGCGCGACAGCGUGGGGAGCAA
rnacentral:rRNA from 1 species